rnacentral:rRNA from 1 species
CCGCGUGAGUGAUGACGGCCUUAGGGUUGUAAAGCUCUUUCAUCAGGGACGAUAAUGACGGUACCUGAAGAAGAAGCCCCGGCUAACUUCGUGC